rnacentral:rRNA from 1 species
AACGAACGCUGGCGGCAGGCCUAAUACAUGCAAGUCGAGCGCGCCCUUCGGGGUGAGCGGCGGACGGGUGAGUAACGCGUGGGAAUAUGCCCUUCUCUAAGGAAUAGCCUCUGGAAACGGAGAGUAAUACCUUAUACGCCCUUUGGGGGAAAGAUUUAUCGGAGAAGGAUUAGCCCGCGUUAGAUUAGGUAGUUGGUGGGGUAAUGGCCUACCAAGCCUACGAUCUAUAGCUGGUUUGAGAGGAUGAUCAGCCACACUGGGACUGAGACACGGCCCAGACUCCUACGGGAGGCAGCAGUAGGGAAUCUUAGACAAUGGGGGCAACCCUGAUCUAGCCAUGCCGCGUGUGUGAUGAAGGCCCUAGGGUCGUAAAGCACUUUCGCCAGAGAUGAUAAUGACAGUAUCUGGUAAAGAAACCCCGGCUAACUCCGUGCCAGCAGCCGCGGUAAUACGGAGGGGGUUAGCGUUGUUCGGAAUUACUGGGCGUAAAGCGCACGUAGGCGGAUUAGUAAGUUAGAGGUGAAAUCCCAGGGCUCGACCCUGGAACUGCCUUUAAUACUGCUAGUCUUGAGUUCGAGAGAGGUAAGUGGAAUUCCGAGUGUAGAGGUGAAAUUCGUA